AAGGAGAAGCCGAAGGAACCCGAUCAAGCCUGGUCGUUUUCUCCGCUGGAGACGAUGAGUGGAUCACAUGAGGAGGAGCCACACAGACCCAGGACCCCGUGAAGUCUCAGGAGGGACCGGACACAUAUGUGUGAACAGUCGCGUGUCUGUCGGUCUCCCUUUCUCUCCUAGUCCUGGGCUUGCUUUCAGCUGGGCUUGCAGUCUGAUCUUAGCCGUUAUGAUGCCCCAGAUCUGACUAUUCCCUGCUAAUUAAAGGUUUGGAUCAAUCUGAUGCUCUUGGUGAGAGUUUACUGAACAAGAAGCUGUUGGAAGAUUGUCGGAUUUCCACUGAAUUCAGGAAGUUCUUUGGUGUACGUAUUACUUUAUUUUGCCACUUAUUUUAUCUCUUUGCUCCUGCUGUUCAAAGUACAUUUAGCUUUGUGUUUACUUGUUGCAAAUCUUCUAGAAAACAAGUUUAUUGGCAAGAAAUAAUGAAUUUUAAAUUCAUAUUGGAAAAUCUUAAAGGAAUGCAAGUUAAAAAAAUCACUAAAGAGAAUAUUGCACUAAAAAUAUUAUUCUAAGGGUUACCUCCUCUAAUUAAAGAAGAAAAUAUCAUAUGUUCAGCAUUUAAUUUUUGAAAAAACU
rnacentral:lncRNA from 1 species